rnacentral:misc_RNA from 1 species
GAUGAGAACGCAGCGAAAUGCGAUAAGUAAUGUGAAUUGCAGAAUUCAGUGAAUCAUCGAAUCUUUGAACGCACAUUGCGCCCCCUGGUAUUCCGGGGGGCAUGCCUGUUCGAGCGUCAUUUCACCACUCAAGCCUCGCUUGGUAUUGGGCAACGCGGUCCGCCGCGUGCCUCAAAUCGUCCGGCUGGGUCUUCUGUCCCCUAAGCGUUGUGGAAACUAUUCGCUAAAGGGUGUUCGGGAGGCUACGCCGUAAAACAACCCCAUUUCUAAGGUUGACCUCGGAUCAGGUAGGGAUACCCGCUGAACUUAAGCAUAUCAAUAAGCGGAGGA